GAUGAACGCUGGCGGCGUGCCUAAUACAUGCAAGUCGAACGCACAGCGAAAGGUGCUUGCACCUUUCAAGUGAGUGGCGAACGGGUGAGUAACACGUGGAUAACCUACCUCAAGGUUGGGGAUAACAUUUGGAAACAGAUGCUAAUACCGAAUAAAACUUAGUAUCGCAUGAUACCAGGUUAAAAGGCGCUACGGCGUCACCUAGAGAUGGAUCCGCGGUGCAUUAGUUAGUUGGUGGGUAAAGGCGUUACCAAGACAAUGAUGCAUAGCCGAGUUGAGAGACUGAUCGGCCACAUUGGGACUGAGACACGGCCCAAACUCCUACGGGAGGCUGCAGUAGGGAAUCUUCCACAAU
rnacentral:rRNA from 1 species